CCGAAGUGUCACAGGAUGAAUCUACGCUAUUUGGAGAGGGAGUAUACAUUUAACUUGCAGCAAUCCCUGGAAGAAAAAUUCUACUAGCAGAGAUGCUCUGAGCAGAGAGAAAGCCUGUCUGUAUAGUGAGAGAAUGAAACCAAUACAUUGAAAAAAACUGAGAAGAGAAAGAGGUAGAGACUUCACCUGAUACAAGCACGCCUGAAACAAGAGACACCUGUAUGAUUCCAUCUUCCCAGGAGCUAGCAGCCAGUUCUUGUUGAGUUCAAGCCAGUUGAGACCAUCAACUCUUCAACUGAGCCUGCAUGGCCCUGUUUUCAGGGAGGUGGAUUUGCGAUUUGUUCUCCUUCUCCUUGCUCAGCAGCCUGGUGAGCAAUCUCACAAAAUGAAAUCUUUUCUUUUUUGCAAA
rnacentral:antisense_RNA from 1 species